CUCUGAUUUGUGCCAACACGAGGGGCCAAACAGGGUGGAGCACUCAGCGAGUAGGAGAUCCUGGUAGUACACACGUAAUACGACGAGUAGUAAGAGUUGUGGAUUUCCUCCCCUCAGUGCUACAGCACCACGCCCAAGCAGCCCUGCCUCGGGAGUACGGUCGCAAGAAGGUAACUCACAGAAGUUUUCGGCGGGGCGCACAAGCGGUGGAGCAUGUGGUGUAAUUUUAAGCAACGCGAAGAACCCCSCACAUCUUACAUCAUUUGACAACUCUAUAGAUAAUAGAUUUUCCUUCGGGGGGCCAAAGUGACAGGUGGUGCAUGGUUGUCGUCAAGUCGUGUCGUGAGAUGUUGGGGUAAAUUCCCGCAACGAGCGCAACCCCUUUUUUUUAGUUUCCCAUCAUUAGGUUGGGCACUCUAGAGAGACUGCCGGUGACAAACCGGAGGAAGGUGGGGAUGACGUCAAAUCAUCAUGCCCCUUAUGAUUUGGGCUACACACGUGCUACAAUGGAAAGUACAAAGGGCAGCAAAACCGCGAGGUCAAGCAAAUCUCAUAAAACCAUUCUCAGUUCGGAUUGUAGUCUGCAACUCGUCUACAUGAAGCUGGAAUCGCUAGUAAUCGUAGAUCAGCAUGCUACGGUGAAUACGUUCCCGGGUCUUGUACACACCGCCCGUCACACCACGAGAGUUUGUAACACCCGAAGUCGGUGGAGUAACCUUUAGGAGCUAGCCGCCUAAGGGG
rnacentral:rRNA from 1 species